GACGAACGCUGGCGGCGUGCUUAACACAUGCAAGUCGAACGGUAAGGCCCUUCGGGGUACACGAGUGGCGAACGGGUGAGUAACACGUGGGUGAUCUGCCCUGCACUUCGGGAUAAGCCUGGGAAACUGGGUCUAAUACCGGAUAGGACCCUGGGAUGCAUGUCCUGGGGUGGAAAGCUUUUGCGGUGUGGGAUGGGCCCGCGGCCUAUCAGCUUGUUGGUGGGGUGAUGGCCUACCAAGGCGACGACGGGUAGCAGGCCUGAGAGGGUGACCGGCCACACGGGGACUGAGAUACGGCCCAGACUCCUACGGGAGGCAACAGUGGGGAAUAUUGCGCAAUGGGCGCAAGCCUGAUGCAGCGACGCCGCGUGAGGGAUGACGGCCUUCGGGUUGUAAACCUCUUUCAGCACCGACGAAGCGCAAGUGACGGUAGGUGCAGAAGAAGGACCGGCCAACUACGUGCCAGCCGCCGCGGUAA
rnacentral:rRNA from 1 species